GUAGUCGUCGACCGUGCAUGCUUUCGAAUCGUACGUACUUUCGUGUGCUUUUCUAAUCGCGUGAUAUAUCAUCAGGAGGUAUUUGGUCUAACUCUUCUCAAUCGUUUCACUAGGACGUGCAUGUGGUUGACGCGUGGGAGCUCCUGAAGAUCAAUUUCUUACUUCGCACGCUUGCUACGCUGGCAUCAGGCCAGUGGCAUGUCUGGUAGCGAUCGAACAGCAGUCCAGUCACGGUUUGCUUGGUAGACAGACGCGUGAAAGUUUUUGUUCGGGUUUUGGUUUCUACUUUUGGAGUUCAACAUUCUAGUUUACUACCAAUGGAAUUAAUGAGGUUGCAAUGCAUGAGAUGAUCAUACAGACAGCAGUCCUGAAAAGUCUACGUUUUCAUGGUACAAUGCAGCAUAGCAGUCCUAAAGUGGGAAGUACAUCUAGAAAGACAGGGAAUAUUUACUGUAUUAGUGGCUGUUGGGAACUCGAUCUGCCUUUGGUGCUUUCUUGAUGGGCACACAAUAGCCUAUGCAACCUCCCCCACACUCAAAACACUAGACUUGUUUUGAAUCUGUGUCUAAGAUUGAUCGAUCGAUGCAUGGCAACUUCUGUGUGAUAUAGAAAUGUAUUAUAGUAUGGUACUCAUAUGUAUGAUUUUUUUCACGCCUGCUGAAGGCAUACAGUAUCCACAGUUAAUAAAGGACAUACAGAACUGUACAUUUAAAAUUUACACAGAGACACACACAAAAUAGAUAUUAUAAAAUGUGUUUUUGUUUAUUGUAUAUGAGGAAAAUAGUAAUGCUAGAUCACAGUCUCAAUCUUCAAUUAAUUUCCCUACCCUAGAUGACUUGCUGGUGCUUGCUUACAACCAUCGAUCCCUGUUACUGACGCAAUUAACUUACUAUGCAUUAAUUGCAUUAUAGUUGCUGUAAAUUUACUAGCUUCUUGCAACCACUCGCCAACCUUCUGUCACAGACACUGUACAGUAUAGAUAUCAUACUUAUCUAGGAAUUACGUAAUCACACAUGGACAAUCAGAAAAUUAUUAGUUGUAAUACACACAUUCCUAGGAUCUGUAUACACCAGAGAGGACCACUUUA